rnacentral:rRNA from 1 species
UACGUAGGGACCAAGCGUUGUUCGGAAUUACUGGGCGUAAAGGGCUCGUAGGCGGCCAACUAAGUCAGACGUGAAAUCCCUCGGCUUAACCGGGGAACUGCAUCUGAUACUGGAUGGCUUGAGUUCGGGAGAGGGAUGCGGAAUUCCAGGUGUAGCGGUGAAAUGCGUAGAUAUCUGGAGGAACACCGGUGGCGAAGGCGGCAUCCUGGACCGACACUGACGCUGAGGAGCGAAAGCCAGGGGAGCAAACGGG